CGCGGGGCAGUACGAAACCCGUAAGGCGAAAUGAAGGUGAACGCCGGCGCGGUCCGGCGGAGGUUGGAUCCCGUCCCGUCGGGGCGGGCGCACUACCGGCCGAUCUUCUCCGCCCUGUCGGCGAGGUCGAGCGAGAGCGUGCAAGUCGGGACCCGAAAGAGUGGUGAACUAUGCCUGAGGAGGUUGAAGCCAGAGGAAACUCUGGUGGAGGACCGUAGCGAUUCUGACGUGCAAAUCGAUCGUCAAAUUUGGGUAUAGGGGCGAAAGACUAAUCGAACCGUCUAGUAGCUGGUUCCCUUCGAAGUUUCCCUCAGGAUAGCUGGCGCUCUGUCGCAGUUUUAUCUGGUAAAGCGAAUGAUUAGAGGUCUUGGGGGCGAAACGCCCUCAACCUAUUCUCAAACUUUAAAUUGGUAAGAAGCCCGACUCGCUCGUUUGGAGCCGGGCAUGGAAUGCGAGUGCCAAGUGGGCCACUCUUGGUAAGCAGGACUGGCGAUGCGGGAUGAACCGAACGCCGGGUUAAGGCGCCCGACGCGACGCUCAUCAGAGCCCACAAAAGGUGUUGGUUGAUAUAGACAGCAGGACGGUGGCCAUGGAAGUCGGAAACCGCUAAGGAGUGUGUAACAACUCACCUGCCGAAUCAAUCAGCCCUGAAAAUGGAUGGCGCUGGAGCGUCGGGCCUAUACCCGGCCGUCGCGGCGGUACGAGCAUCGAGUUGGUGCGCUAGGCCGCGACGAGUAGGAGGGCCGCGGCGGCGGGCGUAGAAGCCUA
rnacentral:ncRNA from 1 species